rnacentral:lncRNA from 1 species
UUAAUUAAUUGGAUGUGAGAAUAAAAUAUAAACAUGCAAAAGAGAUUGAUUCAAUUGACAAGAAGAAAACAAUGGAUGAAUGGAGUUGUUGGGGGUUUACAAUUUCAUCUAAUCCACUCUCUCUUGUUUACUCCUCUUGAAUUAUUAGCUUGAUUGAUUAAUUGUCAUGCAACUUUCUUAGCCUACCCUUAACCAGAUCCCUCGGUGAAAAGAGCCUAUUACUAAUUACUGGCUUGCUAUCCCUAGCCUCCCCUAGCAAUUAAUAAAGCAUUAUAGAGAAGAAGUUAAAAGCAAUUGAUCGUCCUACCCCUAUCCCUAGGUGGUAUUGCUUAAUCAAGGAAUUACUCACCAGUUCAUGACAUUACUGUACGUCCCCGUAUCAAUAAAGACAAACAACAGUUAUCGAAUGAGUUAAACGAUAAAAGCAUUAAGCACAGAUGAGAACCCAACAAUUAACAAUCAAAGCAUAUGGAAACCAUAUAAAUAAACAAGAGUUUCAAUAAAAGAGAGUAUCAAAAGAUUACAUUGUUUCCCCCAACAACAAUAGGGUUUAGUUCACCAUUGACAUGG